rnacentral:rRNA from 1 species
UACGGAGGAUGCAAGCGUUAUCCGGAUUCAUUGGGUUUAAAGGGUGCGUAGGCGGAAUAUUAAGUCAGUGAUGAAAUCCUGCAGCUUAACUGUAGAACUGUUAUUGAUACUGGUAUUCUUGAAUAUAGUUGAGGUGGGCGGAAUGUGUAAUGUAGCGGUGAAAUGCUUAGAUAUUACACAGAACACCGAUUGCGAAGGCAGCUCACUAAACUAUGAUUGACGCUGAGGCACGAAAGCGUGGGUAGCGAACAGG